UCGAACGGCAGCGCGGGGCAACCUGGCGGCGAGUGGCGAACGGGUGAGUAAUAUAUCGGAACGUACCCUGGAGUGGGGGAUAACGUAGCGAAAGUUACGCUAAUACCGCAUACGAUCUAAGGAUGAAAGUGGGGGCUUCGCAAGAACCUCAUGCUCCUGGAGCGGCCGAUAUCUGAUUAGCUAGUUGGUGGGGUAAAGGCCUACCAAGGCAUCGAUCAGUAGCUGGUCUGAGAGGACGACCAGCCACACUGGAACUGAGACACGGUCCAGACUCCUACGGGAGGCAGCAGUGGGGAAUUUUGGACAAUGGGCGAAAGCCUGAUCCAGCAAUGCCGCGUGAGUGAAGAAGGCCUUCGGGUUGUAAAGCUCUUUUGUCAGGGAAGAAACGGUGAGGGCUAAUAUCCCUUGCUAAUGACGGUACCUGAAGAAUAAGCACCGGCUAACUACGUGCCAGCAGCCGCGGUAAUACGUAGGGUGCAAGCGUUAAUCGGAAUUACUGGGCGUAAAGCGUGCGCAGGCGGUUUUGUAAGUCUGUCGUGAAAUCCCCGGGCUCAACCUGGGAAUUGCGAUGGAGACUGCAAGGCUAGAAUCUGGCAGAGGGGGGUAGAAUUCCACGUGUAGCAGU
rnacentral:rRNA from 1 species